UCAAAAACAUGUCCUUCUGUAAAAGUCUGUAUAUAAGGUCUGGCCUGCCCACUGAAGUUUGAAGGGCCGCGGUAUAUUAACCGUGCGAAGGUAGCAUAGUCAAUAGUCUUUUAAUUGAGGGCUAGAAUGAACGGUCGGACAUGGGAGAAUCUGUCUUUAGCGGUGUUAACGAAUUUAACGGUUGUGUGAAAAGGCAUGAGUGUGCUAGGGGGACGAUAAGACCCUAUAAAACUUGACAUCUAGGGCUGAGCUUCCGCUGUAUGUAAUUCGGGGGCCGGGGAUGAGUAGGUUGUGCUGGGGCGGCGAGGAUAUAAUAACUUAACUGUUCUUGGUGGGAGAAUAAUUGUAAUUAGGUUUGGACCCCGAAGUUCGGGUUAUAAGUUGAAGUUACUUUAGGGAUAACAGCGUUAUUUCUUUUGAGAGUUCGUAUCGACAGAGAGAUUUGCGACCUCGAUGUUGAAUUAAAGCUUCCGCCGGGGGCAGAGGUUCGGGGGGCAGGUCUGUUCGACCUUUAAUAGCUUUACAUGAUUUGAGUUCAANCCGGUGUGAGCCANGUUG
rnacentral:rRNA from 1 species